rnacentral:rRNA from 1 species
UACGGAGGGAGCUAGCGUUAUUCGGAAUUACUGGGCGUAAAGCGCACGUAGGCGGCUUUGUAAGUUAGAGGUGAAAGCCUGGAGCUCAACUCCAGAAUUGCCUUUAAGACUGCAUCGCUUGAAUCCAGGAGAGGUGAGUGGAAUUCCGAGUGUAGAGGUGAAAUUCGUAGAUAUUCGGAAGAACACCAGUGGCGAAGGCGGCUCACGGGACUGGUAUUGACGCUGAGGUGCGAAAGCGUGGGGAGCAAACAGG